UUUAACAUAUGUUGCCAAGGUCACCCUCCUGAGUGACCUUCAGAAGAUUCUAACCGUCGCUCAUUUUUUAUUCAAAAGUUAUUAACCAAAAAAUAUUUGUAAAAAUUAUGAUGAAAAUGUCCAUUCAAAUUCAAUUAAAAGUGAAUGUUAUUGAUGUAUUAGGUUAGGUUAGGUUAGGUGAUAUAAAUCACCCUCGAGAUGGGGCGCAAAUGCGCCAAGGGUGAGUGGGGGGUCCCAGGGCCCUUCCUCAAGCCCAGUGCAGGCCAUCGUGGGGGUUUUAGCAGGAAAGCGUUGCAGGCCGCCAGACGGCUAAAACCUUCUGAAGGUUACUUAGAAGGGUAACCUUGACAACAUAUGUCAAGGUCAAGGUCAUCGGAGGGUGGUCCGUAUUACUAAAUAAUUACCAAAUUCUGAUACGUACUUGUCGUGAUCAGCAGUAUUAACACCGUCAUUGAGGUGAAAUCCAAACAGGCUUCCAUGCCAUGUUUGAGAUAAGUUACUAAAUUCAAUGGUACGAGACCCAGAAUUGUGAUUCUAGUUAACAGUGGUGCGUGUACGAAUGCAGCAACUACCAUGGCAAGCAAUAAAUAAACGAUAUGCAAUCCUAUGCGAUACAUUCUCUGCAUCUGUUCUCCUAUAAACAUUCAUAUGGAAUAGAAAUCAAUGGUACUCCAUCUGCCACUAAAACUGUAGUAUCAUCCGUAUCUCUUCUCCAGAACCAUUCAAGUACUGAAGCUCUUCCAUCUCGACAACUCAGUGUCACAACAAGAAGCGUG